CCCAGACUCCUACGGGAGGCAGCAGUGGGGGAUAUUGCACAAUGGGGGAAACCCUGAUGCAGCGACGCCGCGUGAGUGAAGAAGUAUUUCGGUAUGUAAAGCUCUAUCAGCAGGGAAGAAAAAAGACGGUACCUGACUAAGAAGCCCCGGCUAACUACGUGCCAGCAGCCGCGGUAAUACGUAGGGGGCAAGCGUUAUCCGGAUUUACUGGGUGUAAAGGGAGCGUAGACGGCAAUACAAGUCGGAAGUGAAAUACCCGGGCUCAACCUGGGAACUGCUUUGGAAACUGUAUGGCUGGAGUGCUGGAGAGGUAAGCGGAAUUCCUAGUGUAGCGGUGAAAUGCGUAGAUAUUAGGAGGAACACCAGUGGCGAAGGCGGCUUACUGGACAGUAACUGACGUUGAGGCUCGAAAGCGUGGGGAGCAAACAGGAUUAGAUACCCGCGUA
rnacentral:rRNA from 1 species